AAGGAGCACAUAGCCGCUUGCGAGCGAAUGUCUCGCACGGUUGCUCAUGGGUGGAACGUUGACUAUUCGGCACACGCGGUGAUGACCGUCAGUACUGCCCUCGGGGUGUGGAACGCGGGUUCGGAGUCGGGUGUGUCGGGCACGUUGUUGGGUCCUGAGGGAACGAGUGAUCGUUUCUUCUGGGAUGCCGGCCUCAUGCGAGGCGCCCGUGAGGGUUGCCGAGUUUGGGUGUCUGGUCGUUGUUUGAGAACUGCACAGUGGACGCGAGCAUCUGU
rnacentral:misc_RNA from 1 species